rnacentral:rRNA from 1 species
GAUCCUGGCUCAGGAUAAACGCUGGCGGCGUGCCUAAUGCAUGCAAGUCGAACGGGCGCGGGUUUCCCGCGUGACCGUGGCGGACGGGUGAGGAGCACGUAGCUAACCUGCCCUGGUGUAGGGGAUAUCCUCCGGAAACGGAGUGUAAUACCGCAUGUGCUUGAUUGGGGGACCCGGUCAAGGAAAGCCGAGAGGCGUACCAGGAGGGGGCUGCGUCCGAUUAGCUAGUUGGUGGGGUAAGGGCUCACCAAGGCG